rnacentral:rRNA from 1 species
UACAGAGGGGGCAAGCGUUGUUCGGAAUUACUGGGCGUAAAGGGCGCGUAGGCGCCUGUUAAGUCGAACGUGAAAUCCCCGGGCUCAACCCGGGAACUGCGUCCGAUACUGGCAGGCUUGAAUCCGGGAGAGGGAUGCGGGAAUUCCAGGUGUAGCGGUGAAAUGCGUAGAUAUCUGGAGGAACACCGGUGGCGAAGGCGGCACCUGGCCGGC